CCCCCGCCCGCAUGUCUGUCGACCCCCCUCGCCGCCGCCCCGAGACCAACGCACGUCUCUACAUCGAUCCCCUCUCUGGAUCGCCUCCUCCGCCGUUUCUCCAGAUCGCAGUCUCCGUCGUUUCUCCGGAUUGCUGCCACCGCCGUCUGGAUCACCGCCGCUGCGGCCGCCGUCACACAGAAGACGCCGCCGGGAUCGCGUCCGCGUACGGGACUGCGCCGCCGACGUGUGCCGCAGGGACACGUCUCUCCAUCGAUCCCCUCUCCGGAUCGCCUCCUCCGUCGUUUCUCCAGAUCGCCGUCUCCGUCGUUUCUCCGGAUUGCUGCCACCGCCGUCUGGAUCACCGCCGCCGCGCCCGCCGUCACACAGAAGACGCCGUCGGGAUCGCGUCCACGUACGGGACCGCCGCCGCUGACGUGUGCCGCAGGGACAUCGAAGGAAAGACUGCGGCGCGGCUGGUCCAUUGCGCCCUCGAGCGAGUGCGGUGGAGACAAACUGAGGGGCGCAUGGGAGGCAGACUGGAGGCACGGCCCACGGUGGGCUACUCUGAAAUGCCGCUCUUCCUCUCCCCAUGUGUGUGCAUCUUCCUCGGCUUCUGACACAGUUGCCGCCAUGGAUGGGCCUCGCUGGUUUGCAUCGCCAUUUUUGAUGGAUUCGUGUUCGCAUGCGCCCACAGGUUAGUGUUGUAGCUAUGGAGGAUGAGGCAAUUGGAGAUGACGAGGAUCAUGCAACGGCUGGCGGGCGUGUGCCCUCUCGGCUUUGGGGCGAAGCAGGAAGACUCCGCCCUUUGUGGGUGCACCUAUGCCCUCUUUCUCAAGUAGUGAAUUGAGUGCUACACAUUGCUAUUGCUGCAGUAUGAUGUCAAGGUGGAGUGGCUCAGAGCUCCUGUGUUUGACAACUCUGAGAACAAAGUACAGUCGUAACACAUCGACGGCUACGCCUUUUUGGGUUGUUGGGUACGCAUGUGAGAGACAUUGGUUUCAGUGAUUGUGAAAGGAGGAAAAUGGUCGCCGAAAAGCAGGCAGAUCUACACCUUGAGAGAUGGCAUUUUGCGGUACAUUGUUUAGGUAUUUGGAGUAUCUAUUAUGUUUCAGAAUUUCUCGAACUAUGGUAUCUCCAUAUCCAUCUAAUGAAUGCCCCCCCCCCCCCCUAAUUUCAUUGAUAUCUUAAUGAGAAAUUUGGCUUUUGGUGAACUAAAACAAUAUACCAAUAAAAAAUUUAGCGCUUGGCUGUACAUAUGAAUGUUAACUUUGUUAAAAUAAUUCUCCCUUUAUAAGAGAAGAUUUCUUAGUUCAAAUAUAUAUUGGUGAAAAAAAUAUAGUAUUUUCCUGACAAACCUUUUGAUUCCUCAACAUCCAUAUUUCAGAAGGAUAAUGGUGGUGUGUUUAUGUUGCUUUGGGUCUCUUAUCACUCGGAUCAUUCAUCAGAAAAAUAUUUAAAAAAUAAUUCUAUUUUGACGUUUCCUUUGAGUUCAUUGUUCCAUAAUAGUAGUUUAGGUUCACAGGAAACCAGACCAUAUGUUUCAGUUUCACUCUUUGGACCAUGAUGGUGGUGUGCAAGGCGGGCUAGAUCGUAAUGCUAAAAGAAUCAAUGGAGGUUAUUGGAUAGCUUUUAGAUUCUCCAAAAAAUAAUCUAGCAGAUGGAUGAUCCUAUUAUCACGUAUGGUGGUGGUGUGCAAGGAAACAGAGCAGCAUGAUGGUAGCUAAUGCUGUUAUUUUCACAUGUAAGAUGUAUGAGCUUCAGUUGUCAAAAAUGAUUAGUUUAAUCGGAAUUUAGAGUUUCAUUCUUAGUUCUCUGAAAUAUUGUUUUUAUGGGUAAUUCCUGAAGAGUGUAGUAUAUUGGGAGCCAAGGCCGAGUAGCAAGCCAUGUGUCACCGCAAGGACACGAGCGAGAUUUAAUUAAUUGUAUUUGCAAGAUUUGGUCUUCCCUUCUUGUUUUCAUGGUCAUCUCACGGGUUUUAUCACUUGCAUUUCCUUCUAUGGUGGUCUGAUCAUUGUACUUUGGGACAUUGUACUUUUAGGACGUAAUGUGCACUUCUGGUUGUUAUUUUAAAUUGCUCAUGUCUUGAUAUGUCUUUCAAAUUCUUGACAUCUGCCCCAGUAGCCUAAACUUCCAUGGCAUGCUCCAUCGGAGUAUUUUGUUUGUUGUACAAUUUUCAAGUGCGACCUUCCAAUUUAUGUUGUUGUAACUGUAAGGUUUGGCACCUCAGAUAAGUUCUCGAAAUACCAACGUCAUAUUUCAAUUAGAAAAUAAGAUUUAGUUUGAUCAUGCAUGCAAUUGUAAUAACCCUACUAUGAGCUUUUAUGUACUGGUUUAAAUAGUUAAAUCUUCUAGAUCCUUUUGCAUAUUUUCUUGGAAUUAUACUGUGAGAGCAUCUUAGUUUUCACUAAGCGAUAAAAUACAUUUUCUAUUUCCGUAAUACAGGUCAUUAGUGGUCACUUGGGAUGGGUGCGAUCUGUAGCAUUUGAUCCAUGGAACAAAUGGUUUUGUCCUGGUUCUGCUGAUAGGACAAUAACGACAAGGAAGAAGGUUGCAGAGUACGGAUGGAUGUGAAAAGGAAGAGGAUGGAUGAGAGAGGAGAGAAGAGGGGUGAAAGAGGAUACGGAUGGAAAGAGGGAGAAGGACAGGGUGGAUGCGCUUCUUGAGGAUUUUUGUCGACUGAUUUCAUACUCUCUUAUAAAUUCAUGGUUAGCUAGGUAAACCUUUUGUACAACAGCUCUUGUUCAAAAGGAAGUUUGAUUUUUCGGCUUCUUAUUUUAGGUCAAUAUCAAGAAUAGUUUAGUUAAUUUAGUUUAAUGUUUAUGUUUGAAAUUGACUGUUACCAUUCUGGUUGAAUGGGGCUGUGGAUAGAAGAGAUUGCGAGUCGGGUAUGGUGAUGCCAACAUUGUAUUGGGGGCAGAUAGAUUUAAGUUC